AGGACGAACGCUGGCGGUGCGCCUAACACAUGCAAGUCGAACGGUGAACCGGGCUUCGGCCCGGGGAUCAGUGGCGAACGGGUGCGUAACACGUGGGCAACCUGCCCCCGACCCUGGGAUAACCCCGGGAAACCGGAGCUAAUACCGGAUACUCUCCUCCGACCACGUGGUCGGCUGAGGAAAGGUCCGCCGGUCGGGGAUGGGCCCGCGGCCUAUCAGCUUGUUGGUGGGGUAACGCCUACCAAGGCGACGACGGGUAGCUGGUCUGAGAGGACGACCAGCCACACUGGGACUGAGACACGGCCCAGACUCCUACGGGAGGCAGCAGUGGGGAAUCUUGCGCAAUGGGCGAAAGCCUGACGCAGCGACACCGCGUGGGGGAUGGAAGGCCUUUCAGGUCGUAAACCCCUUUCGGCAGGACGAAGCGAUCUCGUGACGGUACCUGCAGAAGAAGCCUCGGCUAACUACGUGCCAGCAGCCGC
rnacentral:rRNA from 1 species